rnacentral:lncRNA from 1 species
UGGUAGGAUAAAUCAUGAAGUAAACGCGAUGCAACAGUUAAACAAGUUCGUUGAUGCUACGAGAAGGAGCAUACUCAUGCAGUAAUGAGAUUUUGACAAUCUGUUUUUGAAAAGGGGCACCAACUUUUAAGUUAUAUGAAAAUGACCGAAAUUAGGUGAAAAAAUUUCCGGAUCCUUGAAAUUUCAGAUAGUUUAUUAGACAAUGAAUUUUCUCUAUUUGUGAGAGUUUUGUCCACUUCAAAAGCAGUCUUGAGAAUUUCAUGUGGACCACCAGACCGUUCACCUAUAUCACUGAGACGCACAUAGUAUUUAUACAUAAUAUAAAAAAGAAGAUGUGGUAUGAUUGCCAAUGAGACAACUAUCCACAAAAGACCAAAACGACACAGACAUUAACAACUAUAGGUCACCGUACGGCCUUCAACAAUGAGCAAAGCCCAUACCACAUAGUCAGCUAUAAUAGGCCCUGAUAAGACAAUGUAAAACAAUUCAAACGAGAAAAUUAACGGCCUUAUUUAUGUAAAAAAAUGAACGAAAAACAAAUAUGUAACACAUAAACAAACGACAACCACUGAAUUACAGGCUCCUGACUUGGGACAGGCACAUACAUAAAUAAUGUGGCGGGGUUAAACAUGUUAGUUGAUAACAUAAGUUGAUAACAUGUAAUGCUAAUGGGUAAUGUGCCAAAUUCACACUGCACUGCUAGAUUGGAAGACUUUCCAUGAACCCCAAGUAUGUUUUUAAAUAUGGUUUUUGUGUUUUUUCUAAUUUACUUUUGUCUAAUGCUUCAAAAUUUGGUUUGACUUCUGAUAUCCAUACUUGAAUACUUCUGAUCCACGCUUCAUACAAAAUGUACUUCAAGCAACGCUUUUACACCCCA